GAAGGUGUAGUUCCCAGAUACUACGGUAAUAGUCCCUCUAGAAAUGGAUUGAUAGAUUGCUCUGGAUAGAUUUGUACUGAUAAGGUUUGGCAAAGGAAAUCUCACUCAGGCCUCCCUUCUCCCCUCAUCAUCAGUGCUGUCAAAAGGAAGCCGCUUUUGGGUAUGGACUCCUGAGUGUUGCAACAAGAGAUAUAAACCCACUUAUCGCUCUGGAGAGACUAUAGUCUGCCACUACCAAAUAAGUCUCUUGCAAAAGAUGGGCAACACUGGUCCUCACCUUGCUUAUCUGGAGAUGUCAGCAAACCUUGUCUAACAAUCGUCAUUCAAGUUCCUUCUCCUGAUCACUGCAGAUAUAGUUGGGUGGGCUGAAUUGCAACACUACAUUUCAUCAGUG